rnacentral:rRNA from 1 species
GUAGGGGGCAAGCGUUAUCCGGAUUUACUGGGUGUAAAGGGAGCGUAGACGGCACAGCAAGUCAGAAGUGAAAGCCCGGGGCUCAACUCCGGGACUGCUUUUGAAACUGUUGGGCUGGAGUGCAGGAGAGGUAAGCGGAAUUCCUAGUGUAGCGGUGAAAUGCGUAGAUAUUAGGAGGAACACCAGUGGCGAAGGCGGCUUACUGGACUGUAACUGACGUUGAGGCUCGAAAGCGUGGGGAGCA